rnacentral:rRNA from 1 species
UACGUAGGGGGCAAGCGUUGUCCGGAUUUAUUGGGCGUAAAGAGCUCGUAGGUGGUUCGGUAAGUCGGAUGUGAAAUCUCCAGGCUCAACCUGGAGGGGUCAUUCGAUACUGCCGUGACUAGAGGUCGGUAGGGGAGUGUGGAAUUCCUGGUGGAGCGGUGAAAUGCGCAGAUAUCAGGAGGAACACCCGUAGCGAAGGCGGUUCUCUGGGAAUGACCUGACGCUGAGGAGCGAAAGUGUGGGGAGCGAACAGG